rnacentral:rRNA from 1 species
CAGCCGCCACGGGAACACGUAGGGUGCAAGCGUUAAUCGGAAUUACUGGGCGUAAAGCGUGCGCAGGCGGUUCGUUAAGACAGAUGUGAAAUCCCCGGGCUUAACCUGGGAACUGCAUUUGUGACUGGCGAGCUAGAGUAUGGCAGAGGGGGGUAGAAUUCCACGUGUAGCAGUGAAAUGCGUAGAGAUGUGGAGGAAUACCGAUGGCGAAGGCAGCCCCCUGGGCCAAUACUGACGCUCAUGCACGAAAGCGUGGGGAGCAAACAGGAUUAGAUACCCGCGUAGUCCCUGUCUCUUAUAC